GGGCGAAUAGCUCAGCUGGUCAGAGCGUCCGGUUUACACCCGGAAGGUCGGGGGUUCGAGCCCCUCUUCGCCCA
rnacentral:tRNA from 2 species